rnacentral:rRNA from 1 species
UAAGUCGAAAGGUGAUGGGCCAGCAUUUCUGGUCUGAUCAGUGGCGAACGGGUGAGUAUCACGUGAGCAACCUGCCCUAGACUCUGAAUAAUCAUGGGAUACGAUGGCUAAUACUGGAUACGAGUCGCACACGCAUGUGUGGCGUCUGGAAAGAUUUAUCUGUCUGGGAUGGGCUCGCGGCCUAUCAGCUUGUUGGUGGGGUAGUGGCAUACCAAGGCGAAGACGGGUAGCCGGCCUGAGAGGGCGUCCGCCACACUGGGACUGAGAUACGGCCCAGACUCCUACGGGGAGGCAGCAGUGGGGAAUAUUGCACAAUGGGCGCAAGCCUGAUGCAGCGACGCCGAGUGAGGGAUGACGGCCUUCGGGUUGUGAACCUUUUUCAGCAGGGAAGAAGCGAAAGUGACGGUACCUGCAGAAGAAACGCCGGCUAAAUACGUGUCAGCAGCCGCGGUAAUAUGUAGGGGGCAAGCGUUGUCCGGAAUUAUUGGGCGUAAAGAGCUCGUAGGCGGUUUGUCGCGUCUGGUGUGAAAACCUAAGGCUCAACCUUGGGCAUGCAGUGUGUACGGGCAGUCUAGAGUGCGGUAGGGGAGACUGGAAUUCCUGGUGUAGCGGUGAAAUGCGCAGAUAUCAGGAGGAACCUCGAUGGCGAAGGCAUGUCUCUUGGCUGUAACUUACGCUGAGGAGCGAAAGCAUGGGGAGCGAACACGAUUAGAUACCCUGGUAUUGCACCCGGUAAACAUGGGGCAUUAGAGCUGGGGGGCCUUCCACGUUUUCCGCGCCGCAGCUAACGCAUUAAGUUCCCCGCCU